GAUGAACGCUGGCGGCGUGCCUAAUACAUGCAAGUCGAGCGAACAGACGAGGCUCUUGCUCCUUUGACGUUAGCGGCGGACGGGUGAGUUACACGUAGGUAACCUACCUAUAUGACUGGGAUAACUUCGGGAAACCGGAUCUAAUACCGGAUAAUAUUUCGAACCGCAUGGUUCGAUAGUGAAAGAUGGCUUUGCUAUCACUUCUCGAUGGACCUGCGCCGUAUUAGCUAGUUGUUAAGGUAACGGCGUACCAGGGCAACGAUACGUAGCCGACCUGAGAGAGUGGUAGGCGACACUGGAGCUGGGACGCGGUCAAGGGUCCUAAGGGAGGCAGCAGUAGGGAAUGUGACGCAGUAGGCGAGAGCCUGACGGAGCAGCGGCGAGUGAGAGAUGGAGGUCUUCGGAUCGGAAAAAUCUGUUAUGAGGGAAGAACAGACGUGGAAGUAACUGUGCACGGCGUGACGGUACCGGAUCAGAAAGCAACGGCUAACUACGUG
rnacentral:rRNA from 1 species